rnacentral:rRNA from 1 species
GACGAACGCUGGCGGCGUGCCUAAUACAUGCAAGUUGAGCGCUGAAGGUUGGUACUUGUACCAACUGGAUGAGCAGCGAACGGGUGAGUAACGCGUGGGGAAUCUGCCUUUGAGCGGGGGACAACAUUUGGAAACGAAUGCUAAUACCGCAUAAAAACUUUAAACACAAGUUUUAAGUUUGAAAGAUGCAAUUGCAUCACUCAAAGAUGAUCCCGCGUUGUAUUAGCUAGUUGGUGAGGUAAAGGCUCACCAAGGCGAUGAUACAUAGCCGACCUGAGAGGGUGAUCGGCCACAUUGGGACUGAGACACGGCCCAAACUCCUACGGGAGGCAGCAGUAGGGAAUCUUCGGCAAUGGACGAAAGGCUGACCGAGCAACGCCGCGUGAGUGAAGAAGGUUUUCGGAUCGUAAAACUCUGUUGGUAGAGAAGAACGUUGGUGAGAGUGGAAAGCUCAUCAAGUGACGGUAACUACCCAGAAAGGGACGGCUAACUACGCG